GGGUGGACAAACUGGAGUCCAGAGAGGGCAGAGCCCCUGGGAUGCCUGGCAAGGUGCUCUCACCCCCCCUGUCCUCAGGGGAAGGGGCAAUUCCCUGAAAAGUCCCUUCUCUCCCUGCUAUAGAGGAAGAGGGGCAGAGCUGGGCAUGAGAGGGCCUGACCCUACUUUCCUCUCCCUGGGUAGUUUAUUAUUAUUAUUAUUAUUAUUAUUAUUAUUUUGGAGUCUCUUUUGUAAAUUAAAUAUAAAACAACAAAAAAAUAACACCUCUUUCUCUAACCUGAAGAUAGCCCAGCUGAAGACUUCUGCCCAGGGCCUGAGAGGCCUGCCCUGCAAGCCCAAGAUUUGGAGGUUGGAGGCUGUCCUCUGAGGAACUUCUGAGGCCAAGAGGGCCCAGCAGAGUGGUUCCCACAAAGAAGUGUGGUAAGAAGAAGGGCCCUUCUUCAAUCAAUGAAGUAGUGACCAGAGAAUCCACCAUCAAUAUUCCCAAGCACAUCCAUGAAGUGAGUUUCAAGAAGUGUGCCCCUUAGGCACAAAGAGAUCUGGAAAUUUGCCAUAAAGGAGAUGGGAACUCCAGAUGUGUGCAUUCACACCAGGCUCAACAAAACUAUCUGAGCCAAAGAAAUAAAGAAUAUUCCAUACCAUAUCA
rnacentral:lncRNA from 1 species